GUUUCCUUAACGGUGAAGAGUUUUCCAGAUGUCCCCCAGAAUAAUGAUGUCUGUUUUACUGAAUAAAACCCCCUCAUCAGUGCUGGCAGCUACCUAUAAAAUAGGAUGGUGGAUAUAACUCUGAAGAUUCUCCCAAGUCACUGACAGUAUUGCCGACUGGGAGAGACUGUUAGGGGAAAUGCAAUGUGAGAGCAGGACUCAGGUGUCCAAUGAGAAGAUGGACUGGGUGAGUACUGGUACCUGGCCCUGGUGCCAUUUGCUGCCACUUUCAAGGAGACCUUGAAAUGCAGGAAGGCAAAGGAGAAGGAGGAUCAUCCUGCAGUGCUUUCAAAGCUUCAGAAGCUACUGCUGACAGCAUCUGGGAUUGUGGAGAAGAGGAGAGGACAGCCAUGGC